AUGGAAUGACUCCAAUACAGAGGCCAAAAUCUACUGUUGGAAUUCCUAAAAUUGGUCUGUAAGAUUAUGUAGCUGACAGAGAAGGCAGAUUUCUGGGGAGAUUAGGAGAAUAUUUGUAUCUUCUAAUCAGAGAUCUGCAGAGGAAGGCUGCUGGGUUUAGGUUAUUUGGCCAGUGUUUCAGGUAUGUUCUUGCUUUCCAUCUAAUCAUCAUGAGAAUGCUUUUGUUAGAGUAUCAUCUCAAAGAGUUCCAAUUUUGCAUAUGGAGGUAGGAGAGUUUCAUCCAUCUUUGUUGGAAUCGAGGGUUGCAGAUGCAGGCAAUAGAUGCAUUUAUGUAUCUAAUAAUCAUCAGAAUGCUUUAUAUCUCAAAUGGGGACAUCUGCAUAUGGAGGUAGGAGGGUUUCAUCCAUCUUUGGUUGAAUCAAGGGGGGGGUCUGCUUGCCUGCAAUCAGAAUUGCCUAUGUUGAAUGGUUGCAGACUAUGGUUAAUGAUGUAAGUAGCAGUUGGAUGUCUGCAACAUGUGAAGGAAAGGGAGGAGGGAUAUGUGCAUCUCCUUUUUGGAUUGUGACCUACCCUGCAUGCCAGGCUUGUAGCAUUUUAGAUCACAAGUAAUGUUGCAGUUUAUAGGGGGUUUCAUUACACAAGUAGAAGCUGUAUAACUUGCAGUGACCAAACAACCCAAAAUGAAUAUGGAGAAUUUUCCGAUCAACCUCGGAUAUCAGAGUCUGAUUUCAUUUCCACAUGUCGGAACUCUGGCUCGGUGAAAAAUUGUUGUACAUGAGAUGCAAUGAUUUCAUUUCCUGCAUUGAGCUAUUGGAGUUAUCAAUUGAUUUUUCUGAGCUUCUUAUUUGAAAGAAACACAACAAUUUAAGAGUGAUCAGACCUCCAAAUUCAUUUCAAAAGAGAUUAUGUCUGCUAAAACAAUCGACUAUUAAGUCUUGACCUUUUCUUGGUUUGAAGGGCAAUUUGGAGGAGCCUCCGUCAAAAAAGAGGAGAAAUCAAGAAGGAGAUACAGAAAAAUCACAACUGCCUGAAAUGUCUCAGAUAACAGAUAAUAGAGAAAGUUACACAAUCUUUAGUCUUAACUAUUUAGGUAUAUUUAUUGUACAUAAGAUCCGAAAAAAAGGAAAAGAUAGGAAGAAGGUGAGGGAACAGGACACACAAACAAAUCUAUCUUGACCUAGAUAUCUUACAUUCUUGGUGUUGUCACGAGGCGGUAUUGGUACUUAAUAGGAUAUCUGCUUUCUUCGUGUCACAGGACUUUUGCAUCGUAUCACCAGCCUCCCUAGGCCUGGACCUGCAACUAGCUUUCUUUGCCAUUUCUUCUCUACAAGCAUAUGCAGUUACAGGUAGUAUAGUUCUCUUGAGCACAUUAAUUUCCUGCAUCCAACAAUGAGAGAUUUUGGUGUCUAUCAAUUACAUUUUAGAUGGAAAAAAACUUUUCUUAUCAAGAUAUACCUCUAGCAGGACUGUUCUUUUCAUCUCAGAAAAUGCUCAAUCUGCUUCCAGCCAUUGAUGAUCCACUUGAGCUUUCGUAUCCAGAUGGUGUGGUUGAAGAGCCAUUAAUGAUAUCCUGAACAUUAAGAAAGGAAAGAAGGAUCAUAGGGAGCCAUCUAUUACUUGUUGGUCUGAAAUUUUUGUGGAAGACAAUCUUUUUCAUGACAUCUUGCAUUACAUAUCAUGAUAAUCUGAUAAUUGGACACAAUCUCGAUGACAAUCAGAAGAUCUAAACUUAUCUUACUUCAGUUGAUUAUGCAUGAUGCUCAAUUUUUUUGUAUGCGAGAAAUUUAGAAGAUUCAAGAGAACAAGUGUUCUGCAUGUCCAUUUUAUAUAUUUGUUUAGAUCAUGGUCAAAAAAAUUAUAGUAUUUCUUCCUAUUUGCUGAUGUAUUUGUUAAAGAACUGGAAAUAUACUUUUGCUUGGGAUAGCAUUAUAUGCAUAUAAAGUUGUGUGGCAUGUAACCGAUGCCACAUUUUUUAGUAUCCUUUGAUCUAGUUAGAGUAUUGUAUUCAAUGGAUACUUCCUCAGCUUACUACAUUCCUAUAUAUCCACAUGGUAUGCUAGUGGAGUCUGAUAAUUGCUGCUCAUUGUAACAGAGAAGAGUUGGAGAAAGACAAGAGCCAUACUUGUGUAGAAACUGGGGUGUGCAUGAGUGAGGGGUGCGGGUUGCUCCCAAACACAAAGUACUGCAUGUUCUCCUCAGCAAGAUCUCUAAGUCUGUCAAGUUCUGGCAGUAUGACC
rnacentral:lncRNA from 1 species